GACGUAGCGUAGACGUAGACGCAACGGAGACGCACUGGAAAAGAUCAACACCGAAUUUUGUGUACUCGUGUUUAUAGAUGAACGCAAGCGCCUGACGGAACGUAAGAGAAACGUAACGUAACAUAAGAGAUGACCAACUUUCAUCUUUUACAGUGCGUUUCUUCCGUCUGGCCAAUCAUAAGGCAGCAUUUUGUUCUGUCACUCAAAGUGGACCCGCCCCGCCCCCUCAUUCCUUGUGUUGUGUAAAAAGUUGAUUGUCAACAUAUUCGAAUUUUGUUAAUUAUUUGUUAAUACAAUGGAUGUUAAGUUAUUAAUUUAAUAAAAAUAUAUCAUAGAGUCUUUUCAAUAUUUCAGAUAAAUAUGAGUUGUUAUUAGCCUAAUUCGUGGUUAUCCACACAUAUACGAUAGGUAAAUCCAAUAAACAUUUAAAUACCAGGAAAUGGAACAAAAUAGUUGGAAAUCCCACGGCAUGCGGCACCAAAGAGCAUACUUUCGUUUAUUUCCUAAUCCAUGUAACACACAAAACAGAUAAAUAUUAUAAUAAAUAAUAGUAUAAGUAUAAAUAAAUAAACACAAAGUUUGUUUACUGUUCGUAUAAUUUAUAGGCUAUGUUGUUGAAUUAGAAUUAAGUCAUUGUUUACUCUUUCUACUCAUGCGCAAAAAUUCCGCUACGUCGAUCUAUAAAUUGACAUAAUAUUUUCUUCCGUCUCCAGUCCGUUUCUUACGUCUACGUUGCGUCUACGUCUACGCUACGUCAAACUAUAAAUCCAACUUUAUGUUACGUUACGUUUCUCUUACGUUCCGUCAGGCGCUUGCGUUCAUCUAUAAACACGAGUACACAAAAUUCGGUGUUGAUCUUUUCCAGUGCGUCUCCGUUGCGUCUACGUCUACGCUACGUCAAACUAUAAAUCCAACUUUCAAACAUAACCUUAUAAACAAACAGUUGUUUAUUUAGAGUUAUUUAUUAUUGUUUUCUCAUAUUUUGCAAUUGUUAAGUUGGUUUACUUCGAAUUUAAUGUGCAUUACUGUGGUAUUUCUCCAGUUUUCUAAGAAGGUUGGUGAUUUUGAAUUGGGAUUAUGAUGAAUUUAACCCAAAGGCAAUGUGUGUGUUUAUUUAUGUGGCAAAAUUCCAGGCACGUAAGAACGUUUGCAGAAUGAAAAGAAAUUGUUCAAUGUGAUAAACUUUCUAUGAACAGUCCUCAGUGUUGUUACAUUAACUUUUAAAUAUGCAUCUUGAGGAGCAGGCCUUUGCAGAAAUACUGAAAAGCGGGUUGCAAAACAACGCAAAAUAAAAUAAACGAAAUAUGUCUUGGAAUGAUAAUUUUGUAAUUCUGUAGGCACAUCUAUUGAGAAGUUACAACCAGUGGCAAAGUGCCUUAAGGGAAUCUAUGACAUAUAUAAUUGAAGGUAUGAGUAUAUGUUUCAAAUCGUUGGAUGAUUCUGAGAAAGUGUAAAUUUUUUUCAUGAAUUUGGUACAUAACCGUCUUUAUCUAAACUCUAAAAAUCAUUGACAUCUGUUUUGAAGAACCAUGUUCCUAGAAACCAUUGAUAACAAAUAUAGACGGUUACCUCUGCAUUCGUUGUAUCAUCUUACUACUCUAUCCAUAGUGAGUCUAAUUUUUAAAUCUAUAAUAAUUGUUUACGUGCUGGUUUCAUAAAGAUGCUUCAAAAAUCUAUAUGGGCCUUACUAGGCAGCACAGCCAUGCCUUUAAUAGUUUUUCCAAUUAUAUUUUCAAUAUGCUUAUUCUAGUUAAGAUUGCGGGACAAAAAGACCACUAAAUAUUUGAGUUCAUUUUUAGGUAUCAGCAUUGGCUCUACAGCCCAUGGUGGGUCUUGGCCUGUUCCAGAAUCAGCUUCCACUCUUUCCUAUCCUUUGCUUGGCUUUCCAAUUUCUCACUUGAGCAUGAAUUUUUGGUAUAUAUGGGAUUAUAUUGUGAUAACGACCAGAUCUAUGAAAGAAUAGUAUGUUGUUAAAGAAGAUUGUGGUGACACUAUUCAUGAAUAUCUGAUAAUAUUGGUUAAUGUGAAUGGAGUCCAAAAUGGGGUUUAGGCUGUUAUAUAAAAAACUAGGUCAUUAGCAUAUGGAAGUAGGGCGACAUUAUCUGGUAUUAAAUUAUGUGAAUGAGGAGAAUUAAACCUAAAAACUCUAUUUAUUCUGCUAAUCAAUAUGAAUUUAAUAUAUUUUAAUAUAAAACAUAUGUUAUUCUUUCUAGGGACACCUCCUCUGAAGGAAUUACAAUUAUUUGCCAGUAUGUCAAAUGAAUUUUCAACAUCAGUCAUACUUUCAUGAAUUUAUUGAUGAAAAUAAAA